CAAGAAACUUGUAUGGAGGAUACUCCACAAUGUUCAACACAACAGACUGUCCCAUCCUGCCGUACACCAGCCCUCAGCACCUUCCUUGAAUAGAAAAAUGAGGAGCGACCAAAGUAUUCUCUUGGGAGAAAGGGGUUAAAACAAAAGGUAGAAAUGAAAGUUCGGGUAGGUGCUAAAUUGGGUUCCCCUGUGUCGGGAGCGAUCAUUACAGCCAGAGAGACGAAUGAGGCGGAUCUGACCAUUUUCACGUCGCUUCUGAUCGAUUUCUCGGUAAAACAACUCAUAUAAUCAUGUGAAGGUUGUAACAUUGAGUUUAAUUGGCAGCUGUUGUUUAAAAAAUUGUAUAAUAAAUAAAUAAACAAGA